rnacentral:rRNA from 1 species
CCUACGGGAGGCAGCAGUGAGGAAUAUUGGUCAAUGGACGAGAGUCUGAACCAGCCAAGUAGCGUGAAGGAUGACUGCCCUAUGGGUUGUAAACUUCUUUUAUAUGGGAAUAAAAUGUUCCACGUGUGGGAUUUUGUAUGUACCAUAUGAAUAAGGAUCGGCUAACUCCGUGCCAGCAGCCGCGGUAAUCCGGAGGAUCCGAGCGUUAUUCGGAUUUCUUGGGUUUAAAGGGAGCGUAGGUGGAUUGUUAAGUCAGUUGUGAAAGUUUGGGGCUCAACCGUAAAAUUGCAGUUGAAACUGGCAGUCUUGAGUACAGUAGAGGUAGGCGGAAUUCGUGGUGUAGCGGUGAAAUGCGUAGAUAUCACGAAGAACUCCGAUUGCGAAGGCAGCUCACUGGACUGCAACUGACGCUGAGGCUCGAAAGUGUGGGUAUCAAACAGGAUUAGAUACCCGAGUAGUC